rnacentral:lncRNA from 1 species
UGCAUACUUAUCUCCCUCUCUGAAGUCCUGACGAUGCCACCAGUCCACCACCUAUCUGAAUGGCGUGGAUUCAUUUCCCUUAUCUCCUAUCCUUGAGUGAGUGAAUUUGUUUAAGGAUUUGUGGCCACUGAUUAUUUUCUUGACAGUUUAAACUCUUUUCUUAAUGAUUUUUAGCACUCUAGGUAAUUUAGGAUUGUGGUAGCGGUUCGUGCAUCUACGAAGCCAAUUUACAAAUAAUCAAGUUACUUGCACAUGCAUGGCCACGUUUGAUCCACACAAACCCCCCAAUGCACGUUCAGUGCAAAGAAGCAAGCACGCCAAAGCCAGCCACGAUAUCCAUAACUCUUAUAAUCCUAAAUCUCACUAGCUGUUUUUCUAAGUAUGCAAGUUAUCCAUCUAAAUAAUGAACUACCAUAUUUAAUUAAAAUCUACUAAAUAAAAUAUUAAUAACUAUUUAUCUCAAC